rnacentral:rRNA from 1 species
AUUGAACGCUGGCGGCAUGCCUUACACAUGCAAGUCGAACGGCAGCACGGGAGCAAUCCUGGUGGCGAGUGGCGAACGGGUGAGUAAUACAUCGGAACGUGCCCAGUAGUGGGGGAUAACCCGGCGAAAGCCGGACUAAUACCGCAUACGACCUACGGGUGGAAGCGGGGGAUCGCAAGACCUCGCGCUAUCGGAGCGGCCGAUGUCAGAUUAGCUAGUUGGUGGGGUAAAGGCCUACCAAGGCGACGAUCUGUAGCUGGUCUGAGAGGACGACCAGCCACACUGGGACUGAGACACGGCCCAGACUCCUACGGGAGGCAGCAGUGGGGAAUUUUGGACAAAGGGCGCAAGCCUGAUCCAGCCAUGCCGCGUGCGGGAAGAAGGCCUUCGGGUUGUAAACCGCUUUUGUCAGGGAAGAAACGCUCCGGGCUAAUACCACGGAGUAAUGACGGUACCUGAAGAAUAAGCACCGGCUAACUACGUG